rnacentral:lncRNA from 1 species
CGUUGCUUGCCGCAUCGUUCCCAUCCCAUCCCGCGCCGCCGCCGUUCUCCUCCCAACCCGAGCCUGCAGCGCCAGUAGCCCAUGGGCCGGCUAUGCCUGAACCAGUCCUGUCCAAGGGUCAGCCUAUGGUCGCCGUGGCAUGUUCGAGGAAGAAGUGCGUCGAUGGAGCCGCGGCCGCGGUGUCUAGGAAGUGGAAGAAGAGGUCGCCGCGGAGCAAGGUUGAGCACGUCGACGAGUACCGGGACUGCGGCUCACCGCCGGCGGCCCUCGAGGAAAACGGCCACAAUGUUGGAGAGCGCGCCAUGGAGAUGUUCAGGGCGUCAUGCCGCUCGCCCGCUUCUGCUUGGUGGCCCUGAACAUCUCAAACCAUAAGGCCGUGGCCUCGAAGCGCGCCCGAGGAGAAGGC